AACGAACGCUGGCGGCAUGCCUAACACAUGCAAGUCGAACGAGACCUUCGGGUCUAGUGGCGCACGGGUGCGUAACGCGUGGGAAUCUGCCCUUGGGUUCGGAAUAACAGCUGGAAAGGGCUGCUAAUACCGGAUGAUGUCUUAAGACCAAAGAUUUAUCGCCCAAGGAUGAGCCCGCGUAGGAUUAGCUAGUUGGUAGGGUAAAGGCCUACCAAGGCGACGAUCCUUAGCUGGUCUGAGAGGAUGAUCAGCCACACUGGGACUGAGACACGGCCCAGACUCCUACGGGAGGCAGCAGUGGGGAAUAUUGGACAAUGGGCGAAAGCCUGAUCCAGCAAUGCCGCGUGAGUGAUGAAGGCCUUAGGGUUGUAAAGCUCUUUUACCCGGGAUGAUAAUGACAGUACCGGGAGAAUAAGCUCCGGCUAACUCCGUG
rnacentral:rRNA from 1 species